AGAGCGAACGCUGGCGGCAGGCUUAACACAUGCAAGUCGAGCGCCCCGCAAGGGGAGCGGCAGACGGGAGAGUAACACGUGGGAACGUACCUUUCGGUUCGGAACAACCCAGGGAAACUUGGGCUAAUACCGGAUACGCCCGCAAGGGGAAAGAUUUAUCGCCGGAAGAUCGGCCCGCGUCUGAUUAGCUAGUUGGUGAGGUAACGGCUCACCAAGGCGACGAUCAGUAGCUGGUCUGAGAGGAUGAUCAGCCUCACUGGGACUGAGACACGGCCCAGACUCCUACGGGAGGCAGCAGUGGGGAAUAUUGGACAAUGGGCGCAAGCCUGAUCCAGCCAUGCCGCGUGGGUGAUGAAGGCCCUAGGGUUGUAAAGCCCUUUCGGCGGGAAGAUAAUGACGGUACCCGCAGAAGAAGCCCGGCUAACUUCGCGCCAGCAGCCGC
rnacentral:rRNA from 1 species